rnacentral:tRNA from 1 species
GGGUUGGUUCAGUGGUUAGAGCUUAGGUCUCGUAACCGAAAGGUAGCGGGAUCGAAUCCCGCUAGAGGCUG